AGUGAACGCUGGCGGUAGGCCUAACACAUGCAAGUCGAACGGCAGCACAGUAAGAGCUUGCUCUUACGGGUGGCGAGUGGCGGACGGGUGAGGAAUACAUCGGAAUCUACUUUUUCGGGGGGGAUAACGUAGGGAAACUUACGCUAAUACCGCAUACGACCUACGGGUGAAAGCAGGGGAUCUUCGGACCUUGCGCGAUUGAAUGAGCCGAUGUCGGAUUAGCUAGUUGGCGGGGUAAAGGCCCACCAAGGCGGCGAUCCGUAGCUGGUGUGAGAGGAUGAUCAGCCACACUGGAACUGGGACACGGUCCAGACUCCUACGGGAGGCAGCAGUGGGGAAUAUUGGACAAUGGGCGCAAGCCUGAUCCAGCCAUACCGCGUGGGUGAAGAAGGCCUUCGGGUUGUAAAGCCCUUUUGUUGGGAAAGAAAAGCAGCAGGUUAAUACCCCGCUGUUCUGACGGUACCCAAAGAAUAAGCACCGGCUAACUUCGUG
rnacentral:rRNA from 1 species